AUUGAACGCUGGCGGCAGGCCUAACACAUGCAAGUCGAACGGUAACAGGAAACAGCUUGCUGUUUCGCUGACGAGUGGCGGACGGGUGAGUAAUGUCUGGGAAACUGCCUGAUGGAGGGGGAUAACUACUGGAAACGGUAGCUAAUACCGCAUAACGUCGCAAGACCAAAGAGUGGGACCCUCGGGCCUCUUGCCAUCGGAUGCGCCCAGAUGGGAUUAGCUUGUUGGUGGGGUAACGGCUCACCAAGGCGACGAUCCCUAGCUGGUCUGAGAGGAUGACCAGCCACACUGGAACUGAGACACGGUCCAGACUCCUACGGGAGGCAGCAGUGGGGAAUAUUGCACAAUGGGCGCAAGCCUGAUGCAGCCAUGCCGCGUGUAUGAAGAAGGCCUUCGGGUUGUAAAGUACUUUCAGCGGGGAGGAAGGGAGUAAAGUUAAUACCUUUGCUCAUUGACGUUACCCGCAGAAGAAGCACCGGCUAACUCCGUG
rnacentral:rRNA from 1 species